AUGUUAGACCAUAAAGAAGCUAUCAUAUCUCAUUUAAGUUGGGCUAGCCUCUUUCUAGGAUUCCAUACCUUGGGCCUUUAUGUUGAUAACGACGUCAUGCUUGCUUUUGGUACUCCAGAAAAGCAAAUCUUGAUCGAACCUAUAUUUUCCCAAUGGAUACAAUCUGCUCAUGGCAAGACGACAUAUGGGUUCGAUAUACUGUUAUCUUCAACGAAUGGCCCCGCUUUCAAUGCGGGUCGAAGCCUAUGGUUGCCCAGAUGGUUGAAUGCUGUUAAUGAGAAUAGUAAUUCGCUUUUCUUAACAAUAGGACAUGGGGAUUUCUUGGUUCAUCAUGCUAUUGCUCUAGGUUUGCAUACAACUACAUUGAUUUUUAGUAAAUGGCGCUUUAGAUGCACGCGGUUCCAAAUUAAUGCCAGAUAA
rnacentral:rRNA from 1 species